ensembl:lncRNA
AGCUGAAAGGUGAGGCUGAGAGGCUGGGAACCGGAGGCUUGUGGUGCCAGGAGGGACCAGAGACUGAGGCUGGAGACCAGGGGCCUGCAGCACCGGACCAGAGGAACGUGUUUCUGGAGCGGAGGCGAGCUGGUAGGGGAGCCGUGAAUCUGGAGGAUGACCAUCACUCUACCAACAAGGAUUACGUUGGGGCCAGACUCGCGCUGUUUGUUCCAGACCAGGACUCGGGCUGUGGUGAGCUGAUGGAGGAGCCAAGACUCUGGAGGACGACAUCACUCCACCAACCAGGAUCCUCACCAGGAAUCUGGAGGACUGAUGGAGAAGCCGUACAUCUGGAAGGCAAAUCCUGAGGACGACCAGGUCUCUACCAUCAAGGAUUCCUCACACGCCUGAGCUGAACCUCACCUGAUCCUGUUUGGUUGGGGGUAGAUACACCUGAGCUGAACCCGCCCUGAUCCUGACAGCCUGCUGGUCCCGUCUCCUCAGUUCAUCUGCGCCUCGUCCUCCAGAAGACCUGCUGAGCUCAGCAGUCUGAGGCUGAUGGAUCAAUGACCUCCAGUGGGAGUGAUCUUCUUGACCCCACAUGUAACCGUGUGCUUCCACACGCCUUUCCCUCACGUCUGUCACUAACCUCACUACUUCACUACUCUCUACUGCUUCCUCUUCUUCUUCCUUCUCUGUUGUUCGAACCUUUACACUGAAGGCGCGUCUUCCUGCCCUCAGAGGGUUCAGCGUUAGGGUUGAGAGUCAGGGUUUAGAGUCAGGGACAGAGCUGGUCAGGGAGGACUGUUUUUACACAAACCUCUUCACUUCCUUUCGGAAUGGUGGUGACAUUUUGAAAAGAUUCAUUUGGG